GACGAACGCUGGCGGCAUGCCUAACACAUGCAAGUCGAACGGGAUCCUAGCUUGCUAGGUGAGAGUGGCGGACGGGUGAGUAACACGUGGGAAUCUGCCUUUUGGUUCGGGAUAACCGCGGGAAACUGCGGCUAAUACCGAAUGCCCUCGAGAGAGGAAAGAUUUAUCGCCAGAAGAGGAGCCCGCGUCCGAUUAGGUAGUUGGUGGGGUAAAGGCCUACCAAGCCGACGAUCGGUAGCUGGUCUGAGAGGAUGACCAGCCACACUGGGACUGAGAUACGGCCCAGACUCCUACGGGAGGCAGCAGUGGGGAAUAUUGGACAAUGGGGGCAACCCUGAUCCAGCAAUGCCGCGUGAGUGAUGAAGGCCUUAGGGUUGUAAAGCUCUUUUACCAGGGAUGAUAAUGACAGUACCUGGAGAAUAAGCUCCGGCUAACUCCGUGCCAGCAGCCGCGGUAAU
rnacentral:rRNA from 1 species